CUUGAUGUUUCUAUCAUUGCUCGUAGGAUAUGUUCAACUCAGUUAGCUCAUCGAGCCCUUCAGGUGUGUGCUUUUGUUCUUACUUGGACUAUGUGACAAUUGGAAGAUGUUUCGGCUAGAAAAGCAAAGGAUAAUUGGCCUUCUGUGAUGUUUGCAAUGGUAGGAGGGGUGGUACUUAGCCUUGGAAACCUCUAAACUCAGUAUGCUUGGGCUUUUGUUGGCUUAUCAGUCACAGAAGUGAUCACUGCAAGCAUAACAGUUGUUAUAGGUCCUUUCUUUCAUUCUCUCUCUCUCUCUGACCAUUUCUAAAUGUUGAUGUUUGUCUGUGUUGCUCUUAUAGAUACUGAAUUUUUUGCUUCUGUUGCGAUCUUUAAUGGUGACAGGAACAACCUCGAAUUACUUUUUAGACAAUAGAAUUAAUAGAGUCGAGAUCCUUUUCCCUAGCGUUGGCUGCUUCUUGGUUGCAGUUUUCCUUGCUUCUACUGUCCACUCAUCUAAUGCAGCUGAUAAUAAAUAAAAGCUUGAAGGUUUUUCAUCUAAAGAGGGGUGUUUGGGAAAAGCACUCUCAUUGGACUGUCCAUAUGUUUCUUUGCUGGUGUUUGCUUUUCUCUAUUCUCACCAGCAUUCAACUUGGCAACAAAUGAUCAAUGGCAUACAUUGAAAGAUGGGGUUCCUCACUUGGUUGUCUACAUUGCAUUCUUUUACUUCUCAGUAUCUUGUUUUGUCCUUGCUAUGAUCCUCACAUCACAUUCCUUUACUACCCUGUGCUGGACUUACCGAAAUCAUCAUUCAAGGCUUAAAUGUUGAAUAUUUAAGACUACUUGAAUACUUUAAUAACAUUUUGUUGUUGAUGACAGUGUUGAAUGUUGUUAACUAAUUUGUGGAUCGUUAAUAUAAUGUUGAAUGUUU